AUUCUGGGAAUGCCCUUGACUAGCAGUGUUUCCAGACAAGACAGAAUCGAAAAAAGAAAAGAAAUCCAAGAAGAGAGAGGCAAGACGAAGAGGAGAAAAUCUGUUUCCUGAGACACUGGCUGUGUCUGAAUCAUCUUCCAACAUGAUUCAAGCAACCUUGGCAUGAAAAACCAGGUGGAACCGGGAGUGUUUUGGCUGCAGACACAGGGAUUCCAGCCCUGGGCCCUGUCCUAUCACUGCCUUCCCCGAGCCUUGGCUUUCUGGGCCUUCUGCGUUUCUGUGGUAUAUGGUUACUCUCCCCAACAAGGUGGCAGCACAGCUCUCCUCCGCCUCCUUCGACUCUUGAGUUACUUAUUCAUUGGUAUUGUUGUGCCUACCUGUUCAGCACAGAGGACCUGCUUGUUUCCUGCUUCUGUCCCAGCCAACACCACUUUCCCCAGUCAGGGGACAGUCAAGUCUAUCUAUGUAAAAGAGCCGUCAAGAGUCACCAAAAAGUACUGCGCAGUUGCCUUCCAUAAAAAGGAUACACCAGCAUCCGCUCUCACACCAGGUGCAGGAGAAUACCUGCGUUCUCGCAUCCCCAUCACGCCUGGAUUUUCAUCUAGCUUUUUAAUACUGUGAGUAUCAAUGGAUUAAAAAAAAAGAUAUUCUUUUCCAUCUGUAUUUUCCUGAAUAUGAGUGAAAUCCAGCAUCUUUUCAAAUGUUUCCAGUCAUUUGUAUUUAUUUGCCCAUGAAUUGCC
rnacentral:lncRNA from 1 species